CUUGGUGUUACUGCGAAGGGGGGACGGAGAAGGCUAUGUUAGCCGGGCGACGGUUGUCCCGGUUUAAGCAUGUAGGCUGGUUAUCCAGGCAAAUCCGGAUAAUCAAGGCUGAGGUGUGAUGACGAGGCACUACGGUGCUGAAGUAACAAAUGCCCUGCUUCCAGGAAAAGCCUCUAAGCAUCAGGUAACAUUAAAUCGUACCCCAAACCG
rnacentral:rRNA from 1 species